GUUCAAUUCAAAUGCAUUGCACAUAAAAGCAGACCUAAAAAAAAAAAUAAAGAAACAAUUGCUAAAAAUCAAAUGAAUUCAACUUCAUAGUGAAAUACAACUUAAGUGGACUUGGGAAGUGAUUCUUUCUCGCACCACUAGAGGGCGACAAGAGAGCGACAAGAGGAAAAGGUCCAUCGAUUAACAGCUUGAACUCUCACCUGCCUAUCACAGCAAACGUUACUCACAUUCAGAGACCGCACUUCAAUCGAAACCAUUCACUGUAUUCUGUGAAUACCUCGCCAAACAUAUUGUUGUUUUACUGUAAAUGCUGGAUAGAUAGAUAGAUAGAUAGAUAGAUAGAUAGAUAGAUAGAUAGAUAGAUAGAUAGAUAGAUAGCGUAGCAGACCAACACAUACUCAGCGAACCUGAACUACAGAAGUGACACUGUGUAACUUGGAGUGAGUAAAAAGCUGUGAAUUGCGCAAAUUUUACAUUCAUGACACCCACAUGGCUUCAUGGCACUUGUUCUUGACCAUUGUUUUAUUUGUUGUGUUUUCUAUCACAUGCAAUAAGACACAAAUGAAAAAAGAAAAAAAAAAAAAAACGACUCCACCAUAUGUGUAUUUUUUAUCUGAGGGAUGUCUCCAAAUGAGAAAAGAAUUUGUAUUUUCUGUUCUAAUGUCAAGUUCAAUAGUGUGCUCAAUAGAUGUACAAACUGUCUGGCUAAUUCUGUUCUGUAUAGUUGUGAUCACAACAGGGGUUUAUCUUGUACUGUAUAUCUUACUCACUGGACAAUCAUAUGUUUUAAGAGACUGAAAAGAAAAUUCUAUAGAGAAAUCAGAACACUUGUGGUGCUGGGUCCUAGUCAAGUUGCUUGAGCUGCAAAAGU